rnacentral:rRNA from 1 species
UGGGGAAUUUUGGACAAUGGGCGAAAGCCUGAUCCAGCAAUGCCGCGUGUAGGAUGAAGGCCCUCGGGUUGUAAACUACUUUUGUACGGAACGAAAAGACUCUUUCUAAUAAAGAGGGUCCAUGACGGUACCGUAAGAAUAAGCACCGGCUAACUACGUGCCAGCAGCCGCGGUAAUACGUAGGGUGCAAGCGUUAAUCGGAAUUACUGGGCGUAAAGCGUGCGCAGGCGGUUAUGUAAGACAGGGGUGAAAUCCCCGGGCUCAACCUGGGAACGGCCUUUGUGACUGCAUAGCUAGAGUACGGUAGAGGGGGAUGGAAUUCCGCGUGUAGCAGUGAAAUGCGUAGAUAUGCGGAGGAACACCGAUGGCGAAGGCAAUCCCCUGGACCUGUACUGACGCUCAUGCACGAAAGCGUGGGGAGCAAACA